rnacentral:rRNA from 1 species
AUACGGAGGGUGCGAGCGUUAAUCGGAAUUGCUGGGCGUAAAGCGUACGUAGGCGGUUGGUUAAGUUAGAUGUGAAAGCCCCGGGCUUAACCUGGGAACUGCAUUUAAAACUGGCGAACUAGAGUUGAGUAGAGGGGAGUGGAAUUUCAGGUGUAGCGGUGAAAUGCGUAGAGAUCUGAAGGAACACCAGUGGCGAAGGCGACUCCCUGGACUCGAACUGACGCUGAGGUACGAAAGCGUGGGUAGCAAACGGGAUUAGAAACCCCAGUAGUCC